rnacentral:rRNA from 1 species
CUACGGGCGGCAGCAGUGGGGAAUAUUGCACAAUGGGCGCAAGCCUGAUGCAGCCAUGCCGCGUGUAUGAAGAAGGCCUUCGGGUUGUAAAGUACUUUCAGCGGGGAGGAAGGGAGUAAAGUUAAUACCUUUGCUCAUUGACGUUACCCGCAGAAGAAGCACCGGCUAACUCCGUGCCAGCAGCCGCGGUAAUACGGAGGGUGCAAUCGUUAACCGGAAUUACUGGGCGUAAAGCGCACGCAGGCGGUUUGUUAAGUCAGAUGUGAAAUCCCCGGGCUCAACCUGGGAACUGCAUCUGGAACUGGCAAGCUUGAGUGUCGUAGAGGGGGGUAGAAUUCCAGGUGUAGCGGUGAAAUGCGUAGAGAUCUGGAGGAAUACCGGUGGCGAAGGCGGCCCCCUGGACGAAGACUGACGCUCAGGUGCGAAAGCGUGGGGAGCAAACAGGAUUAGAUACCCCGGUAGUC